GUAAAAGUCGUAACAAGGUUUCCGUAGGUGAACCUGCGGAAGGAUCAUUAAUGAAUUUAUAAUCCGGCGAGACGAAGGACGAGGACUGUCGCUGGCCUUCAACCGAGGCAUGUGCACGCUCUCUUCUGGACUUUCGCCGUAUGGGCGCGGGGCGACCCGCGUCUUCAUAUACCUCUUCGUGUAGAAAGUCUUCGAAUGUUUUUACCAUCAUCGAGUCGCGACUUCUAGGAGACGCGAUUCUUUGAGACAAAAGUUAUCACAACUUUCAGCAAUGGAUCUCUUGGCUCUCGCAUCGAUGAAGAACGCAGCGAAUCGCGAUAUGUAAUGUGAAUUGCAGAUCUACAGUGAAUCAUCGAAUCUUUGAACGCACCUUGCGCUCCUCGGUGUUCCGAGGAGCAUGCCUGUUUGAGCGUCAGUAAAUUCUCAACCCCUCUCGAUUUGCUUCGAGUGGGGCUUGGAUAGUGGGGGCUGCCGGAGACCUGAAAUUCAUUUCGGGACUCGGGCUCCUCUGAAAUGCAUCGGCUUGCGGUCGACUUUCGACUUUGCGCGACAAAGCUUUCGGCGUGAUAAUGAUCGCCGUUCGCUGAAGCGCAUCAAUGAACGGUCCCGUGCCUCUAAUCAGUCGACGCCUUCCGGGCGUCUUCCUUAUAGACGUUUGACCUCAAAUCAGGUAGGACUACCCGCUGAACUUAAGCAUAUCAAUAAGCGGAGGAAAAGAAACUAACAAGGAUUCCCCUAGUAACUGCGAGUGAACCGGGAAAAGCUCAAAUUUUGAAUCUGGCGGUCUUUACGGUCGUCCGA
rnacentral:rRNA from 1 species